rnacentral:rRNA from 1 species
AUCUACACCAACAUAGGUAGUAAACUAGUUUAUUCAAACCUCUAUGUUUUGGCGGCAUUUUAUCUAUUUAGAGGAACUUGCCCAAUAAUCGACAACCCACGCUAUUUCUCACUUUCCUCUUCCCAAAAUUUACAUACCGUCAUCUUUAAAUAAACUCACAAGUAUAAUUUCCGUCAUCACAUCUAAAAAGAUAGAUCAAGGCGUAAUCUAUAAGGAAGAUUCGGGUGCGUUACCUUAAACAUAAUUUCAAGGACUUUUGAAAAAAGCUUCAAAAUAAAAAAGGAUUUAAAAGUAAACUUUAAAUGAUAAUUAAUAUUGAAACAGAUUAUUAAUGUGC